rnacentral:rRNA from 1 species
CUACGGGCUGCUGCAGUGAGGAAUAUUGCACAAUGGGGGGAACCCUGAUGCAGCAACGCCGCGUGGAGGAUGACGCAUUUCGGUGUGUAAACUCCUUUUAUAUGUCAAGAAAAUGACGGUAGCAUAUGAAUAAGCACCGGCUAACUCCGUGCCAGCAGCCGCGGUAAUACGGAGGGUGCAAGCGUUACUCGGAAUCACUGGGCGUAAAGGACGCGUAGGCGGGUUGGAAAGUCAGGUGUGAAAUCCUACAGCUUAACUGUAGAACUGCACUUGGAACUUCUAAUCUAGAGUAUGGGAGGGGGAGAUGGAAUUAGUGGUGUAGGGGUAAAAUCCGUAGAUAUCACUAGGAAUACCUAAAGCGAAGGCGAUCUCCUGGAACAUUACUGACGCUAAGGUGUGAAAGCGUGGGGAGCAAACAGGAUUAGAUACCCCAGUAGUC